AGGAAGCUCGUGUUACAGUGUUGCGUUACUUUCAGGGGCACAGCAAAGCGAUUCAGUUAUGUGCACCGAUGUGCUCCCGUUUCAGUAAGGAGUUUUGCAUCUGUGUUCAUUAAGGAUGUUAGUGUGUAAUUUUAUUUCCUCAUAUAAUAAAAUUGUCUGGCUUUGGGAUCAGGAUGAUACUGGCCUCACAAAAUGAGCUGGGAAAUAGCCCUUCCUCUUCUGUUUUCUGGAAGUCUGUGUAGAAUUGGUCUUAUUACUUCCUUAGGUGUUGAUAGAAUUCACUGGCGAGGCCUCUGGGCCUGGUGCUGGCUUUUAACCAAAUGUUUCAUUUCUUCAAUAGACAUGGUGCUUUUUUCCAGACACUGCCCCAUGGCUAUUGAAAAUUAUCGUGCCACUAGCAGGAUUUAAGAGGAUUUUCCUGUUGCUACACCGCUAGGUUCUGUUUCGUUGUUGUUGUCGAUUGUCUGCAGAGUUUGUUUGUUUGUUUUUGCUUUUUUAGAGCCGCACCCACGGCACACAGAGGUUCCCAGGCUAGGGGUCCAAUCCGAGCUACAGCCGCCAGCCUACGCCACAGCCACUGCAACACCGGAUCCGAGCUGUGUCUGUGACCUACGCCACAGCCACUGCAACGCCGGAUCCUUAACCCACUGGGCAAGACCAGGGUUCAAACCCGUGUCUUCAUGGAUACAGGUGGGCUCGUUAACCACUGAGCCUCGAUGGGAACUGCUGAAGACAAGCUUUUGUUUGGCUGAGUCCCCAGCAUGUGGAAGUUCAAACCCACACCAUGGCCGUGACCUGAGCCCCUGCGGUGGCAAUGCUGGAUCCUUAACCUGCUGAGCCGCAAGGGAACUCCGAGACGUGCUCGAGAACAUGUAAGUCCAUAGUAUAGGGUGUGUGUGUGUGUGUGUGUGUCUGAGUGUGGGCACAUGUGGAAGCCCCUGGGGCUGCUCCCCGCCGUCUCCAGUCCCCUGUUGGGAGCACCGAGAAGCGGGGACUCCCCAGGGCCACUAAGAGGGGCAGCCACGUCCUCGGAGAUGGGCCACCUACAGGUCCAGUGCCUGGCUCCAUCAGCCAGCAAAUGGCUGUGACCAGAAGCCCGCUUGCCUUUCCGGGGCGGGAGGCUGGCGCAGAGGUCAAGGUGCGUCUGUGAUGGGGAGGCCACCCCCCGCCAGCCUCCUCCCACGUGUCCCUCCUCCUCCCUCCCUGGCCUGUCUGUCCCUCCUUCUCCCCUGCUCUGGCUUUUGAUUACAAAAGAAACUCCUGCAGGGGGGCUGCCAGGCUGGCCCUGCUGCCCUCUGGCCUCAGCAUCCCACCCUCCCGCCCCGGGCCAGGCUGAGCUCCGCCCCCAAGGCCAUCCCCCACCACAAGCCCCCAUCUGGCUAAGGCUGCCCCCCCAUUAGAUGGGCCUCCUCUGCCUCUUGGAUGCUACGGCCACUUUCCUGAAGCCAGGGACCCCCCACCCCCGCCCCGCACUCCCCUCCAGCCGCCAGCCGCAGCCCCAAGUUAAGCUGAGGCUCUGUGGCCCCUGUGUGUAUGAGCCGAGCCUGGGGGCAUCGGGGAGCCCAGGGCAGGGAGAGGCCUGGCCCCCCCUGACCAGCCACAGUCACCCCCAAGUCUAGCCAGCUUCUAGGCACCAGGACCAGUCCCCACAAACUGCCCCGCUCCUGAGAGCAUCGGUCCCGCCAGUGUCCACCCAGCUCCUCCGCAGCUUCGGCCCUGAGCCGGUUCCCACCCACACACCCUGUUUGAAUUCUCCCACCCGUGGGUAGGGAGGGGGGAUCCAGCCCUUUUCAGAGAAGGUAACUGAAGAACCCCAGCCUGCCCGUGGGCCCUGCCUCAACAGGUGCCUGGGAGCCCAGAGCCCGCGUUGCGCCCAGAUGGAACCCGGGGCCUGGAGACCAGACCGUGGGGGGCUGGGGUCCUCACUCCCAUCUGACAGGCGGGAGCCCGAGGCCUGGGCACGAAUGGCCACCCAGGGUUGCAGCGCCCAGAGCCGGUCCUGGGGAGGGGCCCUGGGCCCGGCUGGCCUGCAGCAGGGAUGGACUGAGGAGGGGACGGCCAUCGCUCUGUCCCUGAGUGACCCCACCCUCUGGGUCCUGGCCACUGUCCCGCAGGCUGCCUCUCUCCCCGAGCCACCGCCAAGGUUGCUAGGCCUGGCCGAGUCACAUUAGGUGGCACCCAGUGAGGCUCAAUCAGGUCAGGCCACUUAGACGGAUGGCCAUGGCAGGAAGGGGCCCCGGGGCCACCCACCCUGGAUGGGGCCAGACGCGGGGCAGCAGCACAGCAGGGAAGGGCAGGGAGGGGGUGCUGGGGAGGCCAGGUGGACGGGGGUCCUUGGGCAGGGAGGCGGUGGCCCAGCAGGUGGCCCUGGACCUGGGAGCUCGGGCCCCCACCUGGGCCAUCGGGGUGGGACAUGGAGCACAGGCUAGGUGGGCGCGGAGGAGGCAAGGCCUCCAGGCUCCUGCAAACCCAGCCAGGCCAGGCGGGGUCGGGGGUGACAGGAGGUUGGAAAAGCUGGGAGGGGGCCCACAGGGCUGGGGCCAGGAUGUAGGGAGUUAAGUCUGGAAGUUUGCCGGAGUCGGACUCGCCCAGAAGCACCAUCGGUUGUGGCUCAUUCUCUCUCCUUCCUCCUGCAGGGCGUCCUGACAGCUUUUGGUGGCUCCCCUGCGCCCACGACGGCGGAGUCUCCUCCCCACGGUGCACAGAUGGCCCCGGGGCCCUGGCUGGCCUUCCUUGACCGCCGUGCUCCCUUCUUGUGUCAUCUCCCCCUCAGCCGGGCCCAGAGCCGUCCGGCCCCCUCCUCUCCUUGCUGGGUACCUCCUUCCGUGGCAGCGCUGCUGGCUUCUCUGCCGACGGCCUCGAGAGCUGGGAGUGGGCGAACCCAGGGCCAAGGAGGCUGGGCUUUGUUCCCUGUCCCCCCCUUCCACCCUCCCUGCCGGGUCGCUGGAGAGGGGACUGCGACAGCUUCUCACCUAGAGUGGACUGGCCUGGGCCCCGGGCGGGCUGGGAUGCUCUAACCAAGCCUUGUCCCCAGCCCCGGAGAGACCGGGCAGCGGUCAUUUUCAGGGCUGGACAGCCCCUGGCCUGAAGCCUCCAGGAGAGCUCAGGUCAGCCAGCUCAGGGCUGCCGGGAGAUCCGGAGACCCCGUGACGAGCUGACUUGUGUCCCCCAGUGGGUGUGUUAAAAUCCUAAUCGGCACGUCGAGCUGUGCCUGCUUAGAGGGAGGGCUUUGACAGGGGUGGGCAAGGUCAAACGAGGUCAUGAGUGUGGGCGUUUAUCCAGGCGCCGGUGUCCUCAGAAGGGGCGAUCAGGACACGCAGCCCUGAAAGAAGGGAGACCCUGACACAGGCUGCAACAUGGAAGGA
rnacentral:lncRNA from 1 species